UACGGGGGGUGCGAGCGUUGUCCAGAAUCACUGGGCGUAAAGGGCGCGUAGGUGGUUUGAUAAGGGUGUGGUGAAAGUCCGGGGCUCAACCCCGGAUCUGCCGUGCCGACUGUCAAACUCGAGGGCUGUAGAGGCAGACGGAAUUCCGGGUGUAGCGGUGGAAUGCGUAGAGAUCCGGAGGAAGACCGGUGGCGAAGGCGGCGACCUGGGCAGAUACUGACACUGAGGUGCGAAAGCGUGGGGAGCAAACAGG
rnacentral:rRNA from 1 species